rnacentral:lncRNA from 1 species
CCUGAUUGCAUUUAAAAUAAAUGUUUCCCAAUUUCAGAAUACUUACAACUUGUAGUUUUAAGAUUAGAUUCACUUUGGGAGGUUUUAGAAGCAAAUACAUUCAUAGCUGUGUAAUCCCCAGGAAGAAUCUAAAUCUGACAUCAGGUCAUUCAGUCCCUGCCAGACAGACAACAGCAUCAAAUGGUCAACAGCUAAUCCAGCUCUGCAGCUAAAGGGCAGUGUCGGGCAGCAGUGGGGUAUAGCAUAUUACCAAAGAUGAGACCAGCAAAAACAACAAUGUGUAUAAAGCUUUAAAUUAACAUGAUCAUAUAGAGCGCUCAGGAUACAGAAAAAGCACAUAUGAUACUAAAGCCAAAACAAAAAGAUCUUUGGAGUUUACUGACGGCAGCAGUUAAUAGCACAGUCAACAGCAUUUAAAUCAAAUAUAUUAUUACCAGCCAACAGCAAACAGCCCGAGCAGGAAUCGGCACAUAGUCAUAAAUAACAUCAGGGGUAAAU